rnacentral:lncRNA from 1 species
GUGGUAGCAGAGUCACUGCAGAGAACCAGACAAUACCAGGUUGCUUAUAAAAGGAUGCCAUGUGCUUGCUGGAGGUCCCAGGUGCAACCAAAUUGCUUGCAGCUAGGAGGACCUUGAAGAGAAAUGGGAUCAGCCCGCCAAACCAAGAAGGGUUAGCACUUUUGCUAGGAGAGCUGACCACGCACAAACAGAUGAGAACCAAAACCGAGUGAAGAGGAUUGAAGAUGAACCCACAUUUUAAAAGUUCUUGUCUGCUGGAGGUGGCAUUACCUGUGACCUCGCUUCACUUCUCCAUACAUGGCUGUUAUAGCAGAAAAUCCAGCUUUCUGAAGCAUAUUUCACGACAUAUGAUGAGACUUAUGUGAUGUGAGACCUGAGAAAACUAUGAUAGAAAGAAGCAACUCAAGUUGCAAGGAUAUUCCUCAUGUAUCAUGCAAGGAUAUUCCUCAUAUAUCAUGCUUUUUCUAUCUUCUGCUCUUUGCCACCUGUGAGGUCCCUGAAAAUGAAGGCCAAUACUACCCAGAUUUGAAUAUUCUAAGAGAUUUCUCAAAAAGCUGAUAUUCAUAAUUUGAGAAGCAAUCAAGAACAAACGUGUACUGAAACAGUUGGUGCAAAAUCCUUAUUGACCACAGAUGGAAUUCAGUAAUUUAUAUUUCUUCGAAACAUAGAAAAACGGAAUACUGAGAUCUGGUGGGGGGCCGGCGGCAGUCUGGGAGCGGCGCGCCAUGUACACCAUCAUCAACGGGCCCAGCAAGUUGGUCGCGCAGCGCCGCACAGGUCUCACGCAGCAGCAGGUGAAGGGCCAGCUCCAGGAGCUCCUGAAAAGCCGGCAGCCCGCGCCGCCGACCUUGCAGCCCCAGCGGGCGCAGCCCUUCGCGCAGCCGCUGGGACCCUGGCCCCUGUCGAGUGCAGGGCCAAGGCUUGUGUUCAAUCGUGUGAAUCGCCGGCGGGACCCCUCCAAGUCCCCAUCCCUCCAGGGGACCCAGGAGACCUACACACUGGCCCACAAGGAGAAUGUCCGCUUUGUGUCCGAAGCCUGGCAGCAGGUGCGGCAGCAGCUGGAUGGUGGCCCAGCCGGUGAGGGCGGGACAAGGCCUGUGCAGUGGAGAGGAUCCCCAAUCCCCGGCUGCAGAACUUCGUGCCCAUUGACUUGGACGAGUGGUGGGCGCAGCACUUCCUGGCUAGAAUCACCAGCUGUUCCUAGCGGCUGCUGGGAGGGAGCGCUGCUAUGGUCUACCUAUCGCCAGGAGAGGAGCAUGGCGUCCUGCCCAUCCACUGUUGCGCCUGGCUGGGUGCCGGCCACACCUGAAGUGCCAGCAUUUGGACUUUUGCACCUGUUGUUCCCUUGGCCCAGCUGUCCCAAGCUGCUAUGGCCAGGGGCUGAACCCGUCUGACCUCAGUCCUGCUCACUGUGCCCAGGGACCAGAGACCAGCCCCUGGGGAUGUCGGAGAGGAGCUCCAGGCUAAUAAAGUCGAGAAACUGCCAAAAAAAAAAAAAGAAAAGAAAAGAAAAGAAAGAAAGAAAGAGAAAGGGAAUGCUGAUAAUAGAUCCGCAUUUUGAAAUUACUUGUUUCUUGGUGGUGGCAUUAACUGUGACCUACCUGCUUUUCUUUAAACAGGGCUACUGUAUCUGAAAAUAUUGUAAAUAAGCAGAUCUAAUUUCGAGAAAUGCCAAAAACAGGAAGGCACUCUUAAAAACAACCUGGCAUCCCACAAAAUAUUUAAGAAUAAUCUUUAAGAAUAUUUAACAAGUUUGCAAAUGUUUAAGCUACAAUAAAUGUAGAGAACAUAUUUGAACACUGGAC